rnacentral:misc_RNA from 1 species
AAAAAACUUAAAAUACGUCAAUUCAUUGCUCAACUCCUUUGGCUUCCAACAAACGAAAAUAAAUCUACACGCGCGGAAAUCUUCUUGUAGAGUUGUAGUUCUGAAUCUCUCUUUGCCAUAGAAAGUUGGGAAAUUAUGAGUACACUGCAAUGAUGUAAAUUUCAAUCCCCAUAAUUCAAGAGAAUUCUUUUCUUUUUUUUCUAUGAAUAUCCGACACUAUUUUUCAAUUUUUAGUGCACCUAGUAUGGUUUAUAAUUUAUCUAGAAGGCACGUAACCCAUUAUGUAACCCAUUAUCGUCAAGUUUUUUUUUUUUUUCUCGUCAAGUAAAAAUAGAUGCACGGAGCCCUAAGCUGGAAAAAUCAUUAAUUACGAAGCUGCAAAAAUUUUUCACGAGGACGAAGCGAAGGUGCAGAUCAUCUUAUUCCACAAACAGUGAAACUGGAUAAAUGCUUUAGAACAAGGGGAAUGUGGCCUUUUUCAUAAUUAUAAGAAAAAAAAAAAUUUGAUGAUGCUUCAUGUCAGCGUAUAAUUACAUUAAGCAUUAGAAAAGGGGGUCGCGUGUUGGGGGGUGGGUUGGUG